rnacentral:rRNA from 1 species
GAACGAACGCUGGCGGAAUGCUUUACACAUGCAAGUCGAACGGUAGAGGGGGCAACCCUUGAGAGUGGCGAACGGGUGAGUAAUAUAUCGGAACGUGCCCAGUCGUGGGGGAUAACGUAGCGAAAGUUACGCUAAUACCGCAUACGAUCUAAGGAUGAAAGCGGGGGAUCGCAAGACCUCGCGCGAUUGGAGCGGCCGAUAUCAGAUUAGGUAGUUGGUGAGGUAAAGGCUCACCAAGCCAACGAUCUGUAGCUGGUCUGAGAGGACGACCAGCCACACUGGAACUGAGACACGGUCCAGACUCCUACGGGAGGCAGCAGUGGGGAAUAUUGGACAAUGGGCGAAAGCCUGAUCCAGCCAUGCCGCGUGUGUGAAAGAAGGUCUUCGGAUUGUAAAGCACUUUAAGUUGGGAGGAAGGGUAGUAACCUAAUACGUUGCUACUUUGACGUUACCGACAGAAUAAGCACCGGCUAACUUCGUG